GACGAACGCUGGCGGCGUGCCUAAUACAUGCAAGUAGAACGCUGAAGAGAGGAGCUUGCUCUUCUUGGAUGAGUUGCGGACGGGUGAGUAACGCGUAGGUAACCUGCCUUGUAGCGGGGGAUAACUAUUGGAAACGAUAGCUAAUACCGCAUAACAAUGGAUGCCACAUGUCUCUUAUUUGAAAGGGGCAAUUGCUCCACCACAAGAUGGACCUGCGUUGUAUUAGCUAGUAGGUGAGGUAAUGGCUCACCUAGGCGACGAUACAUAGCCCACCGGAGAGGGUGAUCGGCCACACUGGGACUGGGACACGGCCCCGACUCCUACGGGAGGCAGCAGUAGGGAAUCUUCGGCAAUGGGGGCAACGCUGACCGAGCCACGCCGCGUGAGUGAAGAAAGGUUUCGGAUCGUAAAGCUCUGUUGUAAGUCAAGAACGGGUGUGAGAGUGGAAAGUUCACACUGUGACGGUAGCUUACCAGAAAGGGACGGCUAACUACGUG
rnacentral:rRNA from 1 species